rnacentral:rRNA from 1 species
AUUGAACGCUGGCGGCAGGCCUAACACAUGCAAGUCGAGCGAGUGGCGGACGGGUGCGUAAUGUCUGGGGAUCUGCCCGCUAGCGGGGGAUAACUACUGGUAACGGUUGCUAAUACCGCAUACUCUCUGUUCAUCCCAUAUCGGAUUAGCUAGUAGGUGGGGUAAAGGCUAACCUAGGCGACGAUCUCUAGCUGGUCUGAGAGGAUGAUCAGCCAGACUGGGACUGAGACACGGCCCAGACUCCUACGGGAGGCAGCAGUGGGGAAUAUUGCACAAUGGGCGAAAGCCUGAUGCAGCCAUGCCGCGUGUAUGAUGAAGGCCUUAGGGUUGUAAAGUACUUUCAGCGGAGAGGCGGUAACCGAAGAAGAAGCACCGGAUAACUCCGUGCCAGCAGCCGCGGUAAUAG